rnacentral:rRNA from 1 species
GAUGAACGCUGGCGGCGUGCCUAAUACAUGCAAGUCGAGCGAACGGACGAGAAGCUUGCUUCUCUGAUGUUAGCGGCGGACGGGUGAGUAAAACGUGGAUAACCUACCUAUAAGACUGGGAUAACUUCGGGAAACCGGUGCUAAUACCGGAUAAUAUUUUGAACCGCAUGGUUCAAAAGUGAAAGACGGUCUUGCUGUCACUUAUAGAUGGAUCCACGCUGCAUUAGCUAGUUGGUAAGGUAACGGCUUACCAAGGCAACGAUGCAUAGCCGACCUGAGAGGGUGAUCGGCCACACUGGAACUGAGACACGGUCCAGACUCCUACGGGAGGCAGCAGUAGGGAAUCUUCCGCAAUGGGCGAAAGCCUGACGGAGCAACGCCGCGUGAGUGAUGAAGGUCUUCGGAUCGUAAAAUUCUGUUAUUAGGGAAGAACAGAUGUGUAAGUAACUGUGCACAUCUUGACGUUACCUAAUCAGAAAGCCACGGCUAACUACGUG